UCAUAUGCUUGUCUCAAAGAUUAAGCCAUGCAUGUCUAAGUACAAGCCUUUGUGCAAAGCGAAACUGCGAAUGGCUCAAUAAAUCAGUUAUGGUUCAUUUGAUCGUUGCCUUUGCCCUCGCGGGCCGAGGCUACUUGGAUAACUGUGGCAAUUCUAGAGCUAAUACAUGCGAACCUCGCGGCGCCGCUCUCUCGGGGGUCACGCGCCGCGCGCUUUUAUUAGGAACAAGGCCAGCCUCGUGUGCGUCUUGGCGAACUCUGGAUAACUCUGCCGAUCGCACGGUCCAUUCUGCACCGGCGACGAAUCAUUCAAGUGUCUGCCCUAUCAACUGUCGAUGGUAGGUUACGCGCCUACCAUGGUUUUAACGGGUGACGGGGAAUCGGGGUUCGAUUCCGGAGAGGG
rnacentral:rRNA from 1 species